rnacentral:rRNA from 1 species
UACAGAGGGUGCAAGCGUUAAUCGGAAUUACUGGGCGUAAAGCGUGCGUAGACGGUUACAUAAGUCGGGUGUGAAAGCCCGGGCUCAACCUGGGAAUUGCAUUCGAGACUGCGUAGCUAGGGUGCGGAAGAGGGAAGCGGAAUUUCCGGUGUAGCGGUGAAAUGCGUAGAUAUAGGAAAGGAACACCAGUGGCGAAAAGCGGCUUCCUGGCCAGCACC